UCACGAACAUUACUUGGAUCGCUCAUACUAGUUGCAAGCAGAAACUACGGUCGAGUUGUUGGAAUUUUAAGGCUCAAACAUCAAGGAAACGAUGUCCAACUUGAGAGAUACAACGCUUCGCAACGUGCCAGAUUAUUUGACCAAAAAUUUAUCCAAAGGAUCCGAUCAUUUGUGGUUUGGAUGGUGCAAGAUAUGGAACAGCUACCGUGCCAAGUACGUUCAAGUCAAGAACGCUAAACUGACUCCGUUUAUUCAUAUUUGCAUUGCUGCCAUGGCCAUUAAUUAUUACAUGGAGUAUCCCCACAACAAGGCACAUUCCAUGUGGAGGAAGUAUCACUAAACAAGAUCACAGCUGGUAAUUGCCUGGGUGUUUGUGUCACAAGGAGCAAUUUUACAAGAUUACCAUGGAAGGAAGCAUUUAAUAAGUUGGACUGGACAGUUGAUGUUGUAAUCAAGCAAUUUGUGAGAAUAAAAUCUUUAUUUUCAGUGUUG